AUCGGAUGAGAGAAGAGAAGUGACUUCCCCAUGGUCACAUGUCUAGUUGGCAAUGGAAGUGGGAUUCAAGUCCAGUUCCACCUGACUUCAAAGCUUAUUCCUGUUUGACUUCACCCUGCUGCCUCUAAGAUAAAGGGGAGAUCAGGAGAGCAGAAUGGUUGCUUCCCCAGAGGAACAUGUGGUCUCAUUUUCUGCUUAGGGAUAGCUCACAGGAUUCAUGAAGUGGUCACCAGAGGAUAAGGACCAACCAGGUUAACGUGAAGAAAACACCCAGCUGCAGCUGUUUAAUGAGCAACUCGAAGCUGUGGAUAAGAGCAAUCACUGCACCCAGCCACCUCUAUAUACAUGUACACAAAGCCACACAGUUUACACAGUCACAGGUAUUUAAGUACACACUAUUCACACACAAAUACAUAUAUAGACACACAUGUACAGUCCGUCCAAAAUAUAUGUACAUAAAAGCACACUAUUACACCUUCAUAUGUGCACACACACACACACCCAGACUCACUUCAUACACACAUAGAUACAACAGCCACAGCUCCCCAUCACCUACACACACACACACACACCUGGACACCCAGCUCUAAUAUAAUCAGAUAGAGAUAUGCAUGCAGACAAAUUUGCCUGUAUAGUCAAACACAUAGGCAAAUAGAGAACGAGACACCACAUGAACAAAGGCAAACCUACACACAAAGACACAGAGCACACUUACGCAUAUAUCUAUAGACCCACCAUGGCACAUAUGGGUAAGUGCACACAGGCAAACUCACACACACGAGCAUGCACAGGCAGAGAACACAAAUGUACACUCCCAGGUGUCAUAAAGAACAGCCCAGCUUCGGCUUGGGAACGUCACAUCAGACAAUAGGAACGGCUGCACCGCGCGUUUCCUCGGCUGCCAGCUUCCCAGCCACAGAGGAUGCCUCACCUGCUAUGUCAGCUCCCCUCUGCCCCACCUCACAAGAAGCUCAGAAGCUGAGGAGUCACAGAGAGACCUCCCUACUGUGUCAGAGGAAUAGGUCCUUCUGUCACGGGGCACAGGACCCUUGACCGCAAAAUGACGUGAGUUACCACUGACUAUUUUCUGGGUCUUGAUCUUGUGACUCCAAAUGGAUGCAUUUUAGGACCCAAAGGGACCUAAGAGAGUGCUCAGACAGCUGGCUGCGUUAGGAGCUACCUGUGGCUGCUGAAGAAGAGUUUGCGUCAAUUUAAAGAAAGAGCCAUUCAAGGAAUGAGGACCAUGACCUUGGCUGCACUGACCAGCUGGGCUCUGGAGACUCAGUGAGGCUGCCCAGCCACCAACAGGCCCUGCACAAUAGAUCCACGGACCCAGCAGUCAGAGGUGACCCUAGGGGUCACUGGCCCGUGGCUAAGGAGGAGGAGCACAGACCUGCGACCCCCUUUUCCCAUGGACCACCCAGGGAGGCUGAGCGGGGACUCUGAGCUCAGAUGGACAACCUCAGAGCCACUGGGAAUUUGCCUGAGGCCACUGGGGCCAGGGUUAAAUCCAUAUGAAGCAGCGCGGGCUGUGCACCUGCCAUUUUCUAGGCUCUGUCACAUGCAUCUUUCUGCCAAAUCUCAUGGUGAUCCUUCAAGAAUAGUACUAUUAAUCUCCCCAUUGACAGAGGGAGAAAGGGAGGCUCAGAGACGUUAAGUGUCUCACCAAAGCUCACACAGCUUCCAAGCAAUAGAACUUUACUCAGUACUCAGUACAGGUUAACAUUUAUUCAUUCACUCGAUAACCAUUUGCAGCACAGCUACCAUAUGCCAGGCAGUGUUCUAGGCACUUAGAAUACAUAGAUGAGCAAAACAGGCAAAACCUUUCCCUCAGGGCGUUACCAUUUGAGUGCCACCAUGCCACGGCUGGUACAGUUGCUAUUGAGACAAACAAAAUAAGACCCAGUUUUUGCCUUUGGGGAGUAGGUAGUCUAGUGGAGGAGGCACAUACACAGAAAAUUCCAAAGUACUGUGGAAAUCUCAGGGUACUUUGAUAGGGAUUACCAGAGGAGCUGUGAGAAUAAAGGCUGGAUAUCAGGGAAGGCUUCCUGGAAGAGGUGUUGCCUGAAAUGAGCCUGGAAGGAUCACUUAGGGACAGAAAAGUCAUUCCGUGUAGAAUUCAUGGUGAGUGACAGAGCCUAAACCCAGUCUCUUUUGCAUGCUGAGCACUGAGACCCAGACGCUGGUGCUCAGACCUGAUGACUUAUUUUCCCAGGUACAGCUUGAGCAAAGACACAGAAGCAGAAGGCAGGUUUUUGGUUCCAUGAACUCUACAUCUGGCUACAUACAAAUGGUGAAGAGGAACAGGGAGAAACAUGGUUGAAAAGAACAGGCUUGGACUUCAGGAAGCAGUAAAAUGAGCGAAUGCCAUUUAUGGUUACAAAGAUAACUCAGCUGGGGGCCAAACAGAGACUGAAAUGGAGUGGGUGAGGAUGGAGGCCGGGAGGAGAUGGCUGCAGAGGUCCCAGCAAUGACAGUGGUUGUGGGAAGGGGCAACCCCAAGUCUUGUGCUCCCAACUGCAAAUCCAGUGCUUUUUCUAAAAAAAUAUUUAAAUAAUUUAUUUAUUUUUGAGAUGGAGUCUCGCUCUGUCACCCAGGCUGGAGUGCAGUGACACAAUGUCGGCUCGUGCAACCUCUGCCCCCCGGGUUCAAGCGAUUCUCCUGCCUCAGCCUCCCAAGUAGCUGGGAUUACAGACGCACGCCUCCACGCCUGGCUAAUUUUUUAUAUUUUUGGUAGAGAUGGGGUUUCACCAUGUUGCCCAGGCUGGUCUCGAACUCCUGACUUCAAGUGAUCCACCCACCUCGGCCUCCCAAAGUACUAGGAUGACAGGCGUGAGCCACUGUGCCCAGCCUUAUUUUUUUUUUUAAUUUAUAUUUUCAGAGGCAAACGAUCCUUGCUCAUUAAAAAAAGGAAAUAGAAAUUCAAAACAAAAAUGCCUGUAUCUGAUGGGAAAGAUGAGCCCAAUGUUCUUUUUUAAAAAACCUUUAUUAUGAAAUAUUUCAACUGAACAUAUGCAGUUUAUAUUGUUAUAAAGCAUAACAAGCAAUCAAACAGCUGUGAACCCACCACUCCAUGUCAGAACUAGAACUUCCCAAAGCAGUCGGAGCUGAGGUGAGAUCCACUCUGAUGCCCUUCCCCAACUCCACGCCACCCCCCAAGACCUGACCACCUGAUUACUCUGGGAUUUCAUUUUUGUCUCGUUCCCUUGCUUUGCUUUAUGUCUUUACCAAAUGUGAAUGUGUGCCUAAACAAUACAGUGCUCGAUUUGCUUGUGUUUAAGCUUUAUUACAAAUAUAACUUUGAUCCUUCUGCUACUUGCAAUUCUAAAUUUGAUAUUACGAGUCUCAGCCUCAUCGGCGUUGAUGCGUGUGACCGACAUUGAUUCACUCUCACCAGUACGUGGUGUGUUCCGUUGCAUGCAUGCACCCCUGCUGGGGUAUCCAUUCUCCUGUUGGUGGACCUUUGGGUGGUAUUAGUUGCUGGUCAUCUCCAUGGUGCUGUCCUCUUGCAGGUCUCCAGGACACAUGUGCAUGAGUUCCUCUAGGAAACCACGGUGUACAACUGCUGGGUUGCAGGCCCAGGGUUCUUUCCACUUCUCUAUCCUCCCAAGUAGGGUCCAGCUGGCCUUAGUGCUGCCAUGCUGAGAGCUCUGGGAGGGGCAACCCAGGGCAGACAGGCCCAGGCCAGCCACCCUGCCCCAGGCAUUUCCCAGGACUCAUCAGGCACCCAGCGGCCCCUCAGCAGUGAGCAAUACCAGAAAUCUGCCAGCUGGCUACUAACUGGGUCACAAGAGAGUACUGCUGUCUCACUCAGGGUGCGUUCCAUUUCCUUCAGCACUUGCGCCAAGUAAGGCUGUGUUCACAGGCCACAAGACCCAAGGGAGAUGGAAAUCAGCUCACAGAUGCUGAGCUGACUGCACACCAGGCAGUGUGCAAAGCACCUUACACAUAUAACUCACUUAAUCCUCAUCCCUGACUGCACGAGGUGGGCACUAUUAUUAACCCCACUUUACAGAUAAGAAACUGAGGCGCAGGAAGUUGAAAAUUUUGCCCAGACCAACACGUACAACUUCAAAUCCAGACAGCCUGGCCGCUCUGCUCCUACUACUCUGCUACCCCAUCUCUCAAGAGGGGAAAAGGACUAGCUCCUUGCCCAAUCCUGAGGUUGUCAGCAUUCUUUUACUGGCAAGGAAAACAAAUGGAACUUCAAUGAAUAUAUGUAGAAAGAAAGACUUAUUAGCUGACAAAAAUCAAUAGAGAAAAGACAGGUUAGAAGCAGAUCUCAGGGCCCACUGGGUCCAGGGAGGCGAAAGCGCCCCUCCUUCUCCGUCUUCCUCCUCCACGUCUCUCUUUGUGCUGUUUUCAUUCUUUCCUAUUGCAAAAGGGCCUCCUCCCCUGGGCAGGUAGGUGGCUGCCUGCAACUCUCACCUCACCUUCUCACAGAUCUGCCUAUUUCUAUUUUAAAAUACAAACAAACCAAAAGCCAGAGAAGGUUCCUGACAGGCCCAGGAAAGGAUGUGAUUAGCUUAGUCUGGGCCACCUGCCCAUUUUUUAUGGACUAAAUGUUUGUGUGUCUCCAAAUUGGUAUGUGGAAGCCCUACCCCCAGUGUGACAGUAUUAGGAAGUGGGGCCUCUGAAAGGUCAUUAGGUUUCAAUGAGGUCAUGAGGGUGGGGGGAUCCAUGAUGGAAUUAGUGCCGUUAUAAGAAAAGGAAGAGACACCAGAGUUUUCUCUCCACCAUGUGAGGUUACAGCAAGAAGGCAGCUGUCUGCAAGCCUGAAGAGAGCCCUUACCAGGAGCCAAAUCUGCCAGCACCCUGAUCUUGGACUUCCAGAACUGUGAGAAAUAAAUUCCUGUUCCUGAAGCCACUCAGUCCGUGGGAUUCUAUUAGCAGUCGGGACUGACUUGGACACUGUUCCUGGAGCAACGCUAGUGGCCUGGGGAAGCUGGGCCCUGGGACUGGUGCAGGGAGGGCCACAGUCCCAGCCUAUAGCAGCUGAAGCUGCAUUUGUCCCCAGGAAGAGGACAUCACAGACACAACCCCAGAGGCAGUGGGAGGGGGCAUGAUUGAUUGGGAGCAAGGCAACAGUCUAACAGGGCCCAUCUGUGCCCAGGAGUGGGAGAAGCUCCUGGCCAUGAAGAGAGCCCUCACCAGAGGCCAAACCUACUAGGACCUUGAUCUUGGACUUCCAGCCUCCUCCCUGGAAACACGUGACAGCACAUAUGGGUGGUCUCCCUUCUUGAGCGAGGCCUGAGUCUUCACCCAGGAUCCAACUAGACUGAAAAGAACUGUCUCCCUAACAGCACUCCAUCAGCAUUCAGAGAAAAGAGAUUUCCACCUGGUGUUUUUAACCAACACAACCUCCUUCUACACCCUAACCCAUAGAGGGCCCUGGGACCAGUAUAAGAAGUGUGGGUGUUAAGCUGGGACUGCUAGAAGGAGCAGCAGCCCCAUGGGAGCAGGGCAGGAGGGUCCCCUCUUGACCUGCUGACUGCAAACACUGCAGCCGGAGAGACACUCACUCAGGCCACGGUGGGGAGGCCCAGGGGAGGCACGUGUCCUCAUUCUGCUAAGGCGAUAGGGCUCGGGCACAGGACAGGCGAUUUGA
rnacentral:lncRNA from 10 species